rnacentral:rRNA from 1 species
AGUUGGACGUUCGUGUGACGGAUGGCGCUCAGGCGUCGUCUGCACCUUUCGUUCUUCGAACCAACGUCGAACGCGUGCACUUUUCCUCUAGUAGGACGUCGCGAUCCGUUGGGUGUUUGUCUAAGACUCGGGGUGGAGCCCACGAGACUUUCGCGCGUCUCGUGGACCCUCGAUGUUCCGACAGACUCGCUCGACGGUACGCUAACGGCGCGGGGCCGCUAUUCACAAUUAGCGUUCGGCCCGUASCAAGCACGUUCUGUGUUUGACGGCCAUCGGACCUGGUGCCGAUUCUGUCCCGGAACGACUGUUGGUUACGGUGCUCUCGAACAGACCCCGU